rnacentral:misc_RNA from 1 species
AGGGUAUUAUUUUUUCAGACGCGUUAACUUUACCUGUCUUAAUUAUUGAAUUGCUGUGUGUAGUCUUUUCCCGCCCAAUGGCGGGUUUUUUUUUGC